UACUUACAGGUUUCGCAACAUCCAUCUUCAUCAGUUUUUUCAGUGCCCUGUGGUAAAAUACAGUUUUUAGGCACUCUUGCACUGUGUGAACCUUGGUACCUACCAGCUUGCAGCUCUCAUCACACUUCACUGGGGUGCACUCGACAGAAUGGAGUUUAGUGUCCGGAUCUACAGUGGAGCCACAUUUGCAAUCCUCGCACUUGUCUGAGGGAACAACUGCUCCUGGCUGCAAUAGAACACAACAGAGACACAGACAGGCUUGGGCUCUGCAGAGAGAGGAAACAUGGUGAAAUCAGCUCAAUAAAAAACACAAAUGCUAUGAUUCAUCCAAGCAGCCUUCCUAGCAAGUAGAUCUACAGAGUGCUAGCAAUGUUGUCACUCAUAACUGCUUUUGUAUUUGAUAGUAACAUAUGUAAAUAUUUCUAUGCUGUAUAUUAAAAUAUGAUAAUAUAUUUAACAUUAAUAUUUAUGAAUAUAAAAAAUGACAACUUUUUUAUUGAUGUAAAAUAUGUCAGUAUUGAACACGAGAAGCAAAUGUGAUAUGGUGUGUCCGCUGAGUGAUUAAAAUAUAAAUCACAAUGAUGCUUUAAGAGUGAGCAAAAGGCCAAUGACAAAUCCUGUUGUUGUCUGAACUCACUUGUUACCUUUUUUUUUUUUAAAAAAAAAAGGAUCUCAAUUGAAUAACAUAGCUGAAUAUCACUGAUUUGUUUGUUUUCUUCGAUUCUUUGGAACUAUUUCAAAUAAAUUCAGAUUUUGUUUGCACUGGGUCUCGCUUUGAAGAUCAUGUUUCCUGGAAUGUUUUCAGUUGCUUCCAAACAGUCGUGAUUGUUACAUCAGCAUUAGAAUGUUCAGUUAAGAUAUUCAGAAUAUGUGUGAUCUUACACCAUAAAGGGUUAACGUGCAGUAGUAGCAAAGCGCAUUGCUAAGACAUGAUUAC